GGAGACACACCCAAAUACCUCCACCCGGCCGGGGAAUCGAACCCCGGUCAUCUGGCUUGUGAAGCCAGCGCUCUAACCACUGAGCUACCGGGCCGUGUGUAUGUGUGUGUGUGUGCUUUAUUCACCAACGAUCAUCGGCUGGUCUCACCACACAGCCGCUCGCAUUUCAAAAAACCUCAGGAGUUGACAGUAACUCAUCUGAACAGGACUGCGAUCACUCUCGUGCCACAAGCCCUCGGCCUCCCUGCCAAGCCUGCUGCUGCUGGUGGACAGGGACCGCACACUGAGAGGCUGGUCUGUGGAAGGGGUCUGGCUCCCUUCAUGCAUCCCACCGUCACACUCGUGUUCCUGUCACCGCCUUUCUCAAGUGUUACCGACACGGCAGAUUAAAACCCUUUUUCGCCGCAACAACUACGUCUCUGCCACUCCCCACAGUCCACAGGAGGCGCAACACCACCAGCAGGAGGAGAAGGAGGUACUACAAUAACAGCAGCAGCAGCAGCAGCAGAAAGACAAACAGACAAGAGAAAGGAACGAGUAGAUCUGAGUACAGCAGCAGCAGCAGCAGCAGUAGUAGCAUUGCUGCAUCAUUAUCACUGCUAAUGUCACCACCACCAUCAUCACUACCAUCACCACCAUCAACACCUAGGAGACCAUCACCAUCAUAGAAACCUGCAUGUAGUGUUACGUAAUGGCCAAACCACUCUUCAAACACUUAGCCUCCCGGUGGCGGUACAGCGGGCAGCCCUUCGUCACCGCGCUCCUCCUUGCCCGUCUGUCUUUUGGUCGGGUGGAGUGCGUCUGUUGACUGUUCUUCCCUCCUUGAGUUCCGCCGCAGCACCACACACAAACACGUUACUCAGGCGCUAGUUAUGCACUGCUAAUAAUUGUUGUUGGUUCCAAUAAAUCUUUGUUACACUGUA